rnacentral:lncRNA from 1 species
CCUGGGCCGCCCCAGGAGGGCCUCUGGCUGGAUUCUUAGCAGAUGGAAGCCGUGCAAGGGCAGGAGGCAGGGGCCUGACGUGUUUGGAUUGAGGUUGCAGGAGGGGCCCCUGGCUGCUUCAGGGAGAAUAAUUUGGAGGCGAGCGGGGAGGUGAGAGGAAGCUGUGCGGUGCAGGAUGGCGUGGCUGUGGAGGUGGAGAACGUUGGGCCACGCUAGGAGUCUUGAAAGAGGAGCCAAAAGGACUUGCUGAGAGCCGCCGCAGCUGGUGAAUGACGGUGCCAUGACUGAGGUGGUCGAAAGGGAGUAUUUAAGGGGAAAUCAGGCAUUCCGUUUUGACCAAAUUAAGCUGGAGAUGCCUGUGGAACAUUCCAGCCAGGCUGCAUCACGUCACACUGACCUUCAGCAUUGCCCACAGUCCAUCUUCCCCCAGGACCUGAGGAUUUUGCGUCCGGCUCCCUCCUCGCCCAGGACCCCCAAGCUCCCAGCACGCUUCUGAUUUUUUUUGUAGGUUUUUUUUUUUGUUUUUUGUUUUGUUUUGUUUUGUUUUUGAGAGGGAGUCUCACUUUGUGCCCUAGACUGGAGUGCAAUGGCGCCAUCUCGGCUUACUGCAACCUCCACCUCCCAGGUGCAAGCGAUUCCCCUGCCUCAGCUUCCCGAGUAGCUGGGAUUACAGAUGUGAGCCACCGUACCCAGCUAAUUUUUGUAUUUUUAGUAGAGACGGGGUUUCACCAUAUUGGCCAAGCUGGUCUCGAACUCCUGACCUCAGGCGAUCCAUCUGUCUCAGCCUCCCAAAGUGCUGGGAUUACAGGUGUGAGCCACCGCGCCAGGCCUCAGCCCACUUCUUUUGGGUGGCAAUGGUUUGGAUAUCGUUUGUCCUCACUAAAAUUCAUGUUGAGAUUCGAGCCCCAGUGUGGCAGGUGUUGGGAUGUGGGGCCUCAUAAGGAGCUGUGUGGUCUUGGAGGUGGAGUCCUCAUGGAUAGAUUAAUGCCUGCCUUAAGGGGUGAGUGAGUGCUCACCCUUGGGAAUUUGGGAAUUUGGUUUUCUCUCCCUUGCUUCCUUCAGCACCAUGUGAUCUCUGUGCACACAGCUGCAUCCUUCUGCCCUCCCCCAGAAGCAGCAGCAGCCUCAGGGAUGAGGGAGGUCCUCAGUGAGUGCACCUGCCCAGUCUUGAACCUUCCAGCCAUCAGAAUCUGAGCCAAAUCAACCUCUUCCUUUAUAAAGACCCAGCCUCAGGUCUUCUGUCAGAGCAACACAAAAUGGACUCAGCACGGAUCAAAUUGUGUCUCCCCCACCCCCACAAAAAACUUUAUAUUAAAAUCCUAACCCCCAGCAUCUCAGAAUGUGAUCUGAUUAGGAAAUAAGGUCAUUGCAGAUAUAAUUAGUUCAGAUGAGGUCAUUCAUGUGGGCCCUAAUCCAAUAGGAUGUGUGUCUUAUAAAAGUUUGUACAGAGACCCAGACACACAGAAAUGACACCAUGUGGAGGUGAAGGCAGAGAUUGGGGUGACGCCUCUACAAACCGAGGAAAACCAAAGCUGCCGGCACACCCUCAGAAGCCAGAGACCGGGGACUCAUCCUCCCUCACAGCCUCAGGAGCAGCCAGGGCUGACACCCUCAUCUCAGACUUCUGACCUCCAGCACUGGGAGACCUUCAGUUUUUGUGAUUUAAGCCACUAAUUUUGAGGACUCACAUGUGACCCUAAUGCCGCCAUCACCUUAACUCCGAGGCCAGAGUCUACACUACAGCCUCCCUAACAGAGGGAAGGGGCUGGGUUCCCACCCCUUGCUCCUUCCCUCUCCCCGCAUCCAGACUACAUCCCGCAAAUACACCAGUGAACCUGGUACCAAGGUGAUGGGGGACAGGUCAAGGCCAAGAGAUCAGAGCCACAAAGACAAACCCGGUCAGAGGGAAAAAGACAGAGUCAAAACAGAAUCCGGGAGAAACCGAGAACAAGAAAUAGAGACAGCCUGGCGUGGUGGCUCACGCCUGUAAUCCCAACACUUUGGGAGGCCAAGGCAGGCA